GAUCUGUCGAUGAAGCUCUUGUCUGGACUGGGUUUAACAACGAAGACAGAGAUCUUGUGGGGAUGUUUCUUCGUGAUCAUUGGUUCUGUUUCCUUCUUCGGAUUCGUCAUUGCAGUCGUGUCGUCGAAUGAUAGGCACUAUUGCUUCUUGAUUCCAUUGACUCUACCAGUUAUAAUGGUUGCUGUCUACUUUCAUUGGCUUAGCAUGAAGCUCUUCAAGCAUGCUUGAUAUAUCCAUCGAUCACCAUUUUAAGGAUCUAUUGUGAGUUUCAAUUUCACUCUCUCUUGACAAUUCAUUACUGUACGUAACAGAAAAGCUAUGGAUGUGGAUUUCUUGAUUAAAUUGAGACAACUUUGUUAUCAAAGUAGAUUUGUUUAACUUUAGUGAUUACUGC